UCGAGAAUUUUUCUCAAUGGGGGAAACCCUGAAGGAGCGACGCCGCGUGGAGGAUGAAGGCUUUCGGGUUGUAAACUCCUGUCAUUUGGGAACAAGGCGGACGUGUUAACUGCACGUCCGUUGAUAGUACCAGAAGAGGAAGAGACGGCUAACUCUGUGCCAGCAGCCGCGGUAAUACAGAGGUCUCAAGCGUUGUUCGGAUUCAUUGGGCGUAAAGGGUGCGUAGGUGGCGCUGUAAGUCGGGUGUGAAAUUUCGAGGCUUAACCUCGAAACUGCAUUCGAUACUGCGGUGCUUGAGGACUGGAGAGGAGACUGGAAUUUAUGGUGUAGCAGUGAAAUGCGUAGAGAUCAUAAGGAAGACCAGUGGCGAAGGCGGGUCUCUGGACAGUUCCUGACACUGAGGCACGAAGGCCAGGGGAGCAAACGG
rnacentral:rRNA from 1 species